rnacentral:rRNA from 1 species
AUUGAACGCUGGCGGCAUGCCUUACACAUGCAAGUCGAACGGUAACGCGGGGCAACCUGGCGACGAGUGGCGAACGGGUGAGUAAUGCAUCGGAACGUGCCCAGUAGUGGGGGAUAGCCCGGCGAAAGCCGGAUUAAUACCGCAUACGACCUACGGGUGAAAGGGGGGGAUCGCAAGACCUCUCGCUAUUGGAGCGGCCGAUGUCAGAUUAGGUAGUUGGUGGGUAAAGGCCUGCCAAGCCUACGAUCUGUAGCUGGUCUGAGAGGACGACCAGCCACACUGGGACUGAGACACGGCCCAGACUCCUACGGGAGGCAGCAGUGGGAAUUUUGGACAAUGGCGCAAGCCUGAUCCAGCCAUGCCGCGUGCGGGAAGAAGGCCUUCGGGUUGUAACGC